AUUGAACGCUGGCGGCAGGCCUAACACAUGCAAGUCGAGCGAGCGGCGGACGGGUGAGUAAUGUAUGGGGAUCUGCCCGAUAGAGGGGGAUAACUACUGGAAACGGUGGCUAAUACCGCAUACUAUCGGAUGAACCCAUAUGGGAUUAGCUAGUGGGUGGGGUAAAGGCUCACCAAGGCGACGAUCUCUAGCUGGUCUGAGAGGAUGACCAGCCACACUGGGACUGAGACACGGCCCAGACUCCUACGGGAGGCAGCAGUGGGGAAUAUUGCACAAUGGGCGCAAGCCUGAUGCAGCCAUGCCGCGUGUAUGAAGAAGGCCUUAGGGUUGUAAAGUACUUUCAGCGGGGAGGCGUUACCCGCAGAAUAAGCACCGGCUAACUCCGUGCCAGCAGCCGCGGUAAUUC
rnacentral:rRNA from 1 species